UGUUGACCUCGGAUCAGGUAGGAAUACCCGCUGAACUUAAGCAUAUCA
rnacentral:rRNA from 5 species